rnacentral:lncRNA from 1 species
AUACAACUCAGUCAUUUUUGGUAGUGACAUACUUCCUCUAUUGUCUGAUAGCUGAGGAAAUGGGAAAAAAACUAGUUUGGCAGGCUUAAAGCUUUAUAUGGUGACUUAAUCAACUCUAAGAGUAAAAGCUGAGGUUCUAAUAAAAAUAGUGUUUUACAUUUUAAGUAUGUUUGUUGAAACUCUAACUGCUCUCUGCCACUCAUUAUUUUAACUUGUAAAAAUAAGGUAAAAAGCCUUAUAUAUAAAUAGCAAAUUCUAAGCAAUUUAAAAUUUAGAUAUUUCUGAGAAUAAGCAAAAAAACGUUAAACCCCAGUGCAUAUCAGAUUAGCAUUACCUUCAUUCUUUUAACAUUGCUCUGAGGGAAUUAAACAAAAAGUGGUAAGAGAUUAUGUUGUGGGCUGGUGGAUGAGCAAGUUAAGACUUUCAGAGUUUUGUUAACUGGUGUUUGAAAUGCUAACACUGUCACCACUAAAUGUACAUUUACUAGCCCUUUUACUUUUAAACAUCAGAAACAACCUGACUGGGAGACUAGAGGUCAUGCACUGACCUUGCCCCAAACUACAAGCCAGGAGCUCAGCCCCAUGGCAUUUGCUUUGUACAAGAGGGCUUGGAAAGCUCAGAGUGACUGAGGCACACUUAUGGCUCAAGAACCAAGCACCCACAUCCUAAACCAGUUUUCAAGACAGUGGUGUUUGCAACCCACUUAUCUCAACUCAUAAUCCUUAAACUGUAUCAGCCUAAAGCACCAUAUGAUCUUUU